GGAACGGGCGCCACCGACCCGUCUAGAAACACGGACCAAGGAGUCUGACACGUGUGCGAGUACCCGGGUGUGGAAUGCCCGCGUGCGGAAUGAAAGUGAAGGGCAUGCCCUGCCAACCGACCUUGAGCUGCUGCGAAGGGUUUGAGUGGAGCACGUGUGUCGGGACCCGAAAGAUGGUGAACUAUGCCUGAAUAGGGCGAAGCCAGGGGAAACUCUGGUGGAGGCUCGUAGCGAUACUGACGUGCAAAUCGUUCGUCAUACGUGGGUAUAGGGGCGAAAGACUAAUCGAACCAUCUAGUAGCUGGUUCCCUCCGAAAUUUCCCUUAGGAUAGCUAUAACUCGUGUAGAGUUUCAUCAGGUAAAGCGAAUGAUUAGAGGCAUUGGGGACGAAAUGUCCUCGACCUAUUCUCAAACUUUAAAUGGGUGAGAACAUGCGGUUGCUUGAGUGAACUGCGUGAUUGAAUCUGAGUUAUUAGUGGGCCAUCUCUGGUAAGCAGAGCUGGCGAUGCGGGAUGAUCCGAACGCACAGUUAAAGUGCCAAAGUGCCCGCUCAUGCAGAUCCCAUA
rnacentral:rRNA from 14 species